rnacentral:lncRNA from 1 species
CCUGAGGACCAAGCAUGCAAAUAUAUGAGCCUAUGGGGCCCAUGUUCAUUCAGACCACCACAGCUACCCACUCCUGGCAGAGUUACGAGGGGGUGUUAAAGAGAGAGAGGCUGCCAAGAGGAGGGGACUGACCUAGCAACAGACAACAAACCUGGCCUCUGAUGUCCCAAAGAAAUAUGACAAAUCUGAAGCUAUCCCCAUGGAGGUAGCUUCAUUUGGAAGACAGUAAGAAACGUGUGUCUUCGUGGAAGAUUCCAGCAUGACCAAUGAUGUCGAUGUGGACAAAGGCUUUGCCAUAGCCUUCGUUGUCCUUGUGUUCGUGUUUCUAAUAGUGAUGGUUUUUCGGUGUGUAAAGUUGGUGAGGAAUCCCUAUUAGGUCAGCUCUCCAACUGCAGACUCACCUCUGAACUGAAGUACCAUGGAACCCAGUGGUCUCCUGUCACAAGAGACUUGCAAUCUUUUUAUAGGGGGCAGUACUUUUAGCAGGGUCUUACACAGCCAAGGCUUCCCUUGAACCCCUGACCCCUGUUUCUCCUCUACCUCCUAAAUACAGGGCCUACAAAGAAUGCUCCAGCACAACAUUCAACAUCUUUCAUACUGCUGUGUGUGAUCCAGACUUUACAGUCCCUUACCUCUGCAUGUCUCAACCUUGCCCUCUCGUGUUCUGUAACAAGCACAUAGGAGUCAAGUAUCUCUCCAGAGAGAAAAGUCAGGCUAUUUUUCAUUGUUCUUUUUCAAGGAAUCCAUUACUAAAGUUGAACUUAUUGACUAGAUUAAGGCUAUGAGUUUCAAUUGUCCCCUAUCUAAUGUCCCUGGGGU